rnacentral:misc_RNA from 1 species
GCUGGGGUUGGCGAUCUUGGCGAGGACAGAGUGGUGGGGGUGGUCGGGGAGGCCGGGGUAGAUGACCUUUAGGCCCAGUUUUUUCAUGCGGUUCGCAUAGACUAAGGCUCGGUUGCAGUGCUCUUUCAUUCGGAGAGGAAGGUGAGCCAUGCGCUCCGAGAUCUCAAAAGCUACCUUGGCAUUCAUGGUUGGGCCGAGGAGCAUUAGGGCUCCAUCGUGGAGGUCCAUCAUUUUGUUCACCAGGCUCGCUGGCCCACAGAUCGCACCUGCAAUAAUGUCGGCACCGCCGCUGAUGUACUUCGACACGCUGUGCACCACCACAUCCGCCCCCAGCUUCGCCGGCGAGACCACCAUCGGCGUAAACGUAUUAUCCACCACCAGCAUCACCCCUUUCUCCCUCGCCACCUCGCUCAGCCUCGGAAUAUCCGCCACCGCCAGCGUCGGAUUCGACUCCGACUCCACAUACAACACCUUCGUCUCCGCCCGGAUCGCCGCCGCCACCUCCGCCAUAUCCCCAG